rnacentral:misc_RNA from 1 species
GCCCCUCCGCACUGUGGCAUCAGUGUCCGUGAGUUGUCGGAGGAACGGCUGCCAGGGAAGUGAGUCGGUUGCCGUGGUCCCGUGGAGUGGCCGCCCAGAUCCCCUGACUUAACGCCCCUCGAUUUUUAUCUAUGGGGACAUCUUAAGCAGAUAGUGUAUGCUGAGAGCAUCCGUGAUUUGAGACACCUGGAGGAACGCAUACAACACGCCUGUGACCAAAUUGCGGCGACUACAGUUGUGCAUUGCACGGGAUGGACAACACGUAGAACAUGUGUUGUAGCAGUCGGUAUGAAGAUGUCCACAGUUUUCUCUGGACGACUCGUUAAGUGCCACUGAAGCUGCAGUGUGUGAAGUCGGUAAGGAGGUCAGGGUACGGAGAUCCCGGCACGGCGUCUCGUCCUCUCGUGACGGCACGCGGUGUUCGGCUACCGGAAGGUCCGUGCCGAAGCCUCCGGACAGUUCCGCGACGCUUGUGGCGGAGGUUCUGGCCGAGCCGGUUAUUCGAGGCGGCACACUGCUACACGCACCGAGCCGGACUGCACACUCGUGGCCAGUGUGGGAAAUCUUUCACCCUCUCUUACGACUCGAAAGAGGACGAAAGGCGGGACGAGGGGGAAGAGCUACAGCUGCGACGUGUGCGGGAGUGUGUCCUCGCACCACGUGUGGAUCGGCCCGACCGCUGUAACGCGGCAGUCCGGCUACCUGCGAAACCGCGUCCGCGUACACACGGAGGAGCGGCUGUUCACCUGCCACAUUCACAGUAAGUUAUUCGGAUAGGUGCAUCUGUGCGUGCUAGCGUGCUCGUACACCGGCGAGUCGGCGCGGUCGGGAGAUCUGCGACGAGCUGUUCUUCUGUAACACGCGCCGGAAGUUGCACAGGUGUGUGCGUAGUGGACUCUGGCAGAGGCACCGGAAGGCACGAAGUUGGCGAGCUGUUACUGUUAUGUUUUACCACUUGUACAUACCUGCAGAAAAUCGUAUUGUAUCAGCCUCAGCUAUUUUUUUCAGAAGACCUACGUGUCGGUAAUUAAAAGGAAUUACACGCACGACUUCUGUAUAUUUCUUCAGCGUUUGCACAUUGCUAUGAGAUGUUCCUAUUUGCAUAUAUUUUGCACUGUAUGGUAUGUACCUAUUGACAGAAACUCUGCAAUUGCAAAAGCUUCUUGCAUCUCAAUCUUUUUUUCAUAACCUGUACUGAUAGCAAUAAUAAAGAUUUUAUUUUAUAGUAACUGAUACUGGUACAAUAUGCAUUUCAGUUUCUCUUUACUCUGUCUCGUGUAAAGCUCGUAGUCGAGUAACGGGAGCAUUCUGUUAAGUAAUAACAAAGAGGAUAUCAUUUGAAAAAGUUGCGAGACUGUCAAUUGCUAUCGAGUGGGACUUAUUGCCGAUUACUUGUUUUGCAAUGUGCACGGAAGAGAUCGAUCAAAGUUUCGUGUCGAUUCUCAGUUUCUCGAAAUAAAACUGUAGUAAGUAAUAGGUUGAUAAUUUUGGACGUACAACUCGUUUAGAUUUGGCAGUCGUCAUUUUUGUGGAUGUCAGAUGGUGGUGUGGAGGACGUGAUCGUGAAACAAAGUAUAAAACUGUACUUGCCUCCACUGGCAACUAGAGGGUUUUAUUUCGAGAAAUUUAAGUUUUUCUAUUUUAGUGUCAGCUGUAUAUAUAGCUUAUUGAGUGUUGCAUGUUAUGUGGUAGUUACUAAUAAGCCAAGCUGCUUAAACAGUAAUCUGAAACAGAAAUUUUGCCAGCUGUCCUCGGGAGGAGCAUCGUAGUUGCACAGGGCGUAUACACUGCAGCUGGUGUCUGGGUUGUACUGAGAUUUGAUGCCUGUGCCUCCAGGAUCCAGUGCAGUGUUUUACACAGCACACCUCAUUCCUGGGAGUCUCGGAGGAAGGAAGACACCAAAUUAUAAUAUGUAUUCUGGGCCACAGUUCAAAAGGGAGAAGGAAAUGUGAAGGGAAAGCCUAAAAUUGUGUGAAACCGGUUACACUGCCGUGUCGGUACGUGGCCGGUUUGUCCUCUUGUAAGGUGGGUUUAGGGUGUACGAGUGCUUACGGCACCACUUUACUGGAUGUCUCGUAUACACAAUUUGACUGCGAACCGUAUUGUCCUCGUCAGAGCCUGGUAUAUUUCAUUUGAUAUUCCUUAAAAGUUGCACUCAGUUGUAUACUGUAGCAGACGUGCACUGUGGAGGGUGAAGGGAAUGUCAGCUCUGGAUUACGCUGACUGAUACUUCACACCCGUAGGUACUUCACACGUGUGAAAUGUCGACUUUGAAUAUCCUCCAUCGUGAUCACGAGUACUAAUGCAAUGCCACCCGCUCGUGUCGGCUCCUCGUGGGAUGUUUGCAAAAGUGGGGACUGCCAGGUGCUAGGUCCCCUGUCAGUUUUAAGGUGCUGUUUUGGCCAGAGAAUGUGUACUGAGAGAUGAGAAUAUGGGGCUGAUAUUGCAACAGUGUUAUGUUUGACUACAUCUGCAGUUUUAGACGUGUCAAUAUAUACAGAAUGACAGUAUGAGAAAUGAAAAAUUGUGAAUAAAUUGUUGCAC